rnacentral:rRNA from 1 species
UGGGGAAUAUUGCACAAUGGGCGCAAGCCUGAUGCAGCCAUGCCGCGUGUAUGAAGAAGGCCUUCGGGUUGUAAAGUACUUUCAGUCGGGAGGAAGGUGGUAAGGUUAAUAACCUUAUCAAUUGACGUUACCGACAGAAGAAGCACCGUCUAACUCCGUGCCAGCAGCCGCGGUAAUACGGAGGGUGCAAGCGUUAAUCGGAAUUACUGGGCGUAAAGCGCACGCAGGCGGUUGAUUGAGUCAGAUGUGAAAUCCCCGGGCUUAACCCGGGAAUUGCAUCUGAUACUGGUCAGCUAGAGUCUUGUAGAGGGGGGUAGAAUUCCAUGUGUAGCGGUGAAAUGCGUAGAGAUGUGGAGGAAUACCGGUGGCGAAGGCGGCCCCCUGGACAAAGACUGACGCUCAGGUGCGAAAGCGUGGGGAGCAAACAGG